AGGACGAACGCUGGCGGCGUGCCUAAUACAUGCAAGUCGAGCGGACAGAAGGGAGCUUGCUCCCGGAUGUUAGCGGCGGACGGGUGAGUAACACGUGGGUAACCUGCCUGUAAGACUGGGAUAACUCCGGGAAACCGGAGCUAAUACCGGAUAGUUCCUUGAACCGCAUGGUUCAAGGAUGAAAGACGGUUUCGGCUGUCACUUACAGAUGGACCCGCGGCGCAUUAGCUAGUUGGUGAGGUAACGGCUCACCAAGGCGACGAUGCGUAGCCGACCUGAGAGGGUGAUCGGCCACACUGGGACUGAGACACGGCCCAGACUCCUACGGGAGGCAGCAGUAGGGAAUCUUCCGCAAUGGACGAAAGUCUGACGGAGCAACGCCGCGUGAGUGAUGAAGGUUUUCGGAUCGUAAAGCUCUGUUGUUAGGGAAGAACAAGUGCAAGAGUAACUGCUUGCACCUUGACGGUACCUAACCAGAAAGCCACGGCUAACUACGUGCCAGCAGCCGCGGUAAUACGUAGGUGGCAAGCGUUGUCCGGAAUUAUUGGGCGUAAAGGGCUCGCAGGCGGUUUCUUAAGUCUGAUGUGAAAGCCCCCGGCUCAACCGGGGAGGGUCAUUGGAAACUGGGAAACUUGAGUGCAGAAGAGGAGAGUGGAAUUCCACGUGUAGCGGUGAAAUGCGUAGAGAUGUGGAGGAACACCAGUGGCGAAGGCGACUCUCUGGUCUGUAACUGACGCUGAGGAGCGAAAGCGUGGGGAGCGAACAGGAUUAGAUACCCUGGUAGUCCACGCCGUAAACGAUGAGUGCUAAGUGUUAGGGGGUUUCCGCCCCUUAGUGCUGCAGCUAACGCAUUAAGCACUCCGCCUGGGGAGUACGGUCGCAAGACUGAAACUCAAAGGAAUUGACGGGGGCCCGCACAAGCGGUGGAGCAUGUGGUUUAAUUCGAAGCAACGCGAAGAACCUUACCAGGUCUUGACAUCCUCUGACAACCCUAGAGAUAGGGCUUUCCCUUCGGGGACAGAGUGACAGGUGGUGCAUGGUUGUCGUCAGCUCGUGUCGUGAGAUGUUGGGUUAAGUCCCGCAACGAGCGCAACCCUUGAUCUUAGUUGCCAGCAUUCAGUUGGGCACUCUAAGGUGACUGCCGGUGACAAACCGGAGGAAGGUGG
rnacentral:rRNA from 2 species